AAAGUGUCGCCCAAAACCGAACGCUCCUCCUCUGCCAAGACAAAACCCACGAAUGCUCCUCCUUUGCCAAAACUCCCUGAAACGCUCCUCUGCCGAAACCCACCACCAAAAUGCAUGAAACCCUAACUCCUCCGCCGAAACCCACUGCCUCCCCGAAAACUCAUCUCCGCCAAAACUCAUGUCAACGAAAAACCUAGCCUCCAAAACUCCAAUAAAACCCAUCUCUACAAAAUCCCUCCUCCACCCCAAAACCCAUCUCUGCCAAUGGCGACAGCCGCGACGGUUUCUUCCCCGGCAAUCUUCCCUCUCCAAUCCUUCGCCAGGAAUGGCCCUUCCCGAGUUCCUCACGUCUCUUUCAACGUCUCUCUCAUCCGUUCACCUUGCUUUCCCGUUUCUUCCAAGAAGCACAGGGCAAUGACUGUAGUUGGAGCUCUACCGAGGCUGGCUCCUGUGCUCCCAGAAAAGGGAUUUGGUCAAUUAGAGGGCUCCAGAGUAUGCAAUGAGAGGUUACUUGACAGACAAAGCAAUGUAUACGGUUUUGGUGUGGUAACAUUAGAAAUUGCUUAUGUUUUGCAAGAGCAUGGAAAUUUGCUUGAAUUAGUUGACCAAAGUCUUGGCUCCAACUACUCAAAGGAGAAAGCACUGCAAAUGUUGGAACUGUCUCUUGCUUGCACCGACCUCUCCCCAAUGCUUAGGCCUGCAAUGUCAUCACUUGGUGGAAACUCUUGAAUAUCUAAUGUUGCCCUAUCAUUAACUUCUUUUCUCCAGGAAUUUGAAGCAUUUGUUGGCUUGUUACUACUACGUACAACUAUUGUUGGUGUAACCUGAGAGUGGCAGGUCAUAAUUUGUGGAAUAUUGCUUGUUUUGAUGGUGAUUGAUAAUUUUGCAAACACACUGUAGACGCUUAUGACUAAAUCCAGAUUCAAAGUAAAAUGAAAAGAACUUGUGAUCAUUCUCCGAGAAGAUGUAAUAUUAUCAUAUUCAAAGCAAAGAGCAAGCAGGAUUUAUGAUCAUUCUCUGAAAAGAUACAAUAUUAUUUGAAAGAUGCAAUUCAAGAAGGAUUUUUUACUUUUGUAUAGGCUUAACAUGGAUUCAAAGUUUAUGGAUUAUAUACAUAUUUUUCAUUUGAAUUGUAUGACACAUUUUGACACAUUUCUGGUUCAAUAAUAAGAAGAUUGAUUAUUUUUAUGAUAUUUUAA